rnacentral:rRNA from 1 species
CGCGUGAGGGAGGGGUUCUUGGAUCGUAAACCUCUUUUCUCAGGGAAGAACAAAAUGACGGUACCUGAGGAAUCAGCAUCGGCUAACUCCGUGCCAGCAGCCGCGGUAAUACGGAGGAUGCAAGCGUUAUCCGGAAUAAUUGGGCGUAAAGCGUCCGUAGGUGGCUGUUCAAGUCUGCCGUUAAAGACCGGGGCUUAACCCUGGAAAGGCGGUGGAAACUGAACGGCUAGAGUGCAGUAGGGGUAGAGGGAAUUCCCAGUGUAGCGGUGAAAUGCGUAGAGAUUGGGAAGAACACCGGUGGCGAAAGCGCUCUGCUGGACUGCAACUGACACUGAGGGACGAAAGCUAGGGGAGCGAAUGGGAUUAGAUACCCCUAG